rnacentral:pre_miRNA from 1 species
ACAAACAGACAAGACAGGCUUUCGACUUUCAACAAAACGUUUACUGCUAACGUUUUGUUGAAUGUCGAAAGCCUGUCUUGUUUGUUUGUCUU